rnacentral:rRNA from 1 species
CUAAAGUUGUUGCGGUUAAAAAGCUCGUAGUUGAAAUUGUGUCCUGCGGUGUCGGUCUACCGACUGCGGUACGACAGGCACGUCUGCGGGGCUUCUCGCCGGUGCGUAUUCCGCCGGUACGUCGCGGUCGGCUUUACGGUCGGCCGUGCGUCGAGGCGGGCCGUCGCGGCUGUUUACUUUGAACAAAUUAGAGUGCUCAAAGCGGGCUAAGUUUCGCCUGAAUAUUGUACGCAUGGAAUAAUAGAAUAGGACCUCGGUUCUGUUUUGUUGGCUUUCUGAUACCAGAGGUAAUGAUUAAUAGGGACAAGUGGGGGCAUUCGUAUUGCGACGUUAGAGGUGAAAUUCUUGGAUCGUCGCAAGACGGACUAAAGCGAAAGCAUUUGCCAAAGGUGUUUUCAUUAAUCAAGAACGAAAGUUAGAGGUUCGAAGGCGAUUAGAUACCGCUGUAGUUCUAACCAUAAAUGAUGCCAGCCAGCGAUCCGCCGAAAUUACACAAAAUUAUUCCGGUGGGCAGCUCCCGGGAAACCAAAGCUUUCGGGCUCCGGGGGGAGUAUGGUUGCAAAGCUGAAACUUAAAGGAU